GGGCGCUUAGCUCAGGUGGCUAGAGCAUCUGUUUUACACACAGAAGGUCCGAGGUUCAAGUCCUCGAGCGCCCACCA
rnacentral:tRNA from 1 species